AUUGAACGCUGGCGGCAGGCUUAACACAUGCAAGUCGAGCGAGCGGCGGACGGGUGAGUAAUGUCUGGGAAACUGCCUGAUGGAGGGGGAUAACUACUGGAAACGGUCGCUAAUACCGCAUACCAUCAGAUGGACCCAUAUGGGAUUAGCUAGUAGGUGGGGUAAUGGCUCACCUAGGCGACGAUCCCUAGCUGGUCUGAGAGGAUGACCAGCCACACUGGAACGGAGACACGGGCCAGACUCCUACGGGAGGCAGCAGGGGGGAAUAUUGCACAAUGGGCGCAAGCCUGAUGCAGCCAUGCCGCGUGUGUGAAGAAGGCCUUCGGGUUGUAAAGCACUUUCAGCGGGGAGGCGUUACUCGCAGAAGAAGCACCGGCUAACUCCGUGCCAGCAGCCGCGGUAAUGC
rnacentral:rRNA from 1 species